UACGGAGGGUGCAAGCGUUAAUCGGAAUUACUGGGCGUAAAGCGUGCGCAGGCGGUUUGUUAAGUCCGUUGUGAAAGCCCCGAGCUCAACUUGGAAAUUGCAGUGGAUACUGGCAGGCUGGAGUACGGUAGAGGAAGGUGGAAUUCCCGGUGUAGCAGUGAAAUGCGUAGAUAUCGGGAGGAACACCAGUGGCGAAGGCGGCCUUCUGGACCAGUACUGACGCUCAUGCACGAAAGCGUGGGGAGCAAACAGG
rnacentral:rRNA from 1 species